CCUUGGGCUAGUGGCGGACGGGUGAGUAACACGUUGGUACCUACCCCUAAGUGGGGAAUAACUGCCCGAAAGGGUGGCUAAUACCGCAUAAUCCCGCAAGGGUAAAGCAGUAAUGCGCUUAGGGAGGGGCCUGCGUCUGAUUAGCUAGUUGGUAGUGUAAUAGACUACCAAGGCGACGAUCAGUAGCUGGAUCGAGAGGUUGACCAGCCACACUGGGACUGAGAUACGGCCCAG
rnacentral:rRNA from 1 species